rnacentral:rRNA from 1 species
GUAGGUGGCAAGCGUUGUCCGGAAUUAUUGGGCGUAAAGCGCGCGCAGGCGGUUCUUUAAGUCUGAUGUGAAAGCCCACGGCUCAACCGUGGAGGGUCAUUGGAAACUGGAGAACUUGAGUACAGAAGAGGAAAGCGGAAUUCCACGUGUAGCGGUGAAAUGCGUAGAGAUGUGGAGGAACACCAGUGGCGAAGGCGGCUUUCUGGUCUGUAACUGACGCUGAGGCGCGAAAGCGUGGGGGAGCAAACAGGAUUAGAUACCCUGGUAGUCCACGCCGUAAACGAUGAGUGCUAAGUGUUGGGGGGUUUCCGCCCCUUAGUGCUGCAGCUAACGCAUUAAGCACUCCGCCUGGGAGUACGGCCGCAAGGCUG